rnacentral:lncRNA from 1 species
GGAGCCUCUGCAGCAAAGUAUCCAUCAGCACCAUUCUGCCAUGCGAUAUAACAGCAUUCCUUGCUCUUAUUUGCUGGUGACUCAGGCCGUUCCUCCACGGAGAUCAGUGGAUUCCCUCCUGCUUUCAUGUAAUUCGGUGAAGAACAGGUGCUUUUCUCAUGUUGCUUUUGCUUUGGUGUAAAAGGUUUCAUAGGAAUCAUGAUGAUCUCUGGGUUAAAACUUCUGAUAGGAUGUGAUGGGGAAGUCUUGCAGGAAGUGAAGAAGAAAUUAUAUUCAUCACCAUCAACAUAAUUACGUAGAGCAAGGGAGACUCGCAUCAGAGACUGGAUGUAGGCAGUGUGGCCAUCAGCAAAUCGGUCUCUCUGCUCGAUAGCUUGUCUGAUGAAGUUCUUCCUGUC